UACGGAGGGUGCGAGCGUUGUCCGGAAUCAUUGGGCGUAAAGCGCACGUAGGCGGUUCUUUAAGUCUCAUGGUGAAAGGCUGGGGCUCAACCCCAAGCAAGCCGGGGAUACUGGAGGACUGGAGACAGGCAGAGGCCAGCGGAAUUCCGGGUGUAGCGGUGGAAUGCGUAGAGAUCCGGAAGAACACCGGAGGCGAAGGCGGCCGGCUGGGCCUGAUCUGACGCUGAGGUGCGAAAGCGUGGGGAGCGAACAGG
rnacentral:rRNA from 1 species